UAAAAAAUAAAGAGUCGAGCCUGCCCAGUGAUAGAUAUUUAACGGCCGCGGUACUCUGACCGUGCAAAGGUAGCAUAAUCAUUUGCCUUAUAAUUGAAGGCUAGUAUGAAUGGUUUGACGAAAACAAUACUGUCUCUUUUUAAUUUUAUAAAAUUUGAUUUUUAGGUGAAGAAGCCUAAAUAAAAUUGAAAGACAAGAAGACCCUAUCGAGCUUAAAAAAAUUUUGUUAAAAUAAAAUAACUAUAAAAGAUCGCUUGUAACAAAAAAUUUUAGUUGGGGCGACUAAGGAACAAAAAAGCUUCCGCUUUAUUAUAAAAGCUUAUAAGCUAUGAUCCAAAAUUCUUGAUUAAAAAAAUUAGCUACCGUAGGGAUAACAGCAUAAUCUUUUUUGAGAGUUCUUAUCGAAAAAUAGGUUUGUGACCUCGAUGUUGGACUAGAAUAUCCUAAAUGAUGCAGAAGUCUUUAAGGGUUGGUCUGUUCGACC
rnacentral:rRNA from 1 species